UUUUGACGAUGUUGUCGGCGAGGAAACCC
rnacentral:rRNA from 1 species